UACGGAGGGUGCAAGCGUUAUCCGGAUUCACUGGGUUUAAAGGGUGCGUAGGUGGGCAGGUAAGUCAGUGGUGAAAUCUCCGGGCUUAACCCGGAAACUGCCGUUGAUACUAUUUGUCUUGAAUAUUGUGGAGGUAAGCGGAAUAUGUCAUGUAGCGGUGAAAUGCUUAGAUAUGACAUAGAACACCAAUUGCGAAGGCAGCUUACUACACAAUGAUUGACACUGAGGCACGAAAGCGUGGGGAUCAAACAGGA
rnacentral:rRNA from 1 species